GCGUUUUUAGUUUAAGUGAGGAUAAAACAUCAAUCUUCUAAAUUGAAUAUUGAAGGUUCGAAUCCUUCAAAACGCA
rnacentral:tRNA from 1 species